CACCACUCAAGCACUGCUUGGUAUUGGGCAUCGUCCGUCGAAAGACGGGCGUGCCUCGAAGACCUCGGCGGGGCCUAACCGGCUUCGGGCGUAGUAGAGUUAAAUCGAACGUCUUAUAAGUCUGGUUAGAACCCAUUGCCGUAAAACCUUUAUUUUUCUA
rnacentral:misc_RNA from 1 species